rnacentral:rRNA from 1 species
GAUGAACGCUGGCGGCGUGCUUAACACAUGCAAGUCGAACGAUUAAGACGGCUUCGGCCGUGUAUAGAGUGGCGAACGGGUGAGUAACACGUGACCAACCUGCCCCGCGCUCCGGGACAACCGCUGGAAACGGCGGCUAAUACCGGAUGCUCCGGGGAGGCCCCAUGGCCUCCCCGGGAAAGCCCUGACGGCGCGGGAUGGGGUCGCGGCCCAUUAGGUAGACGGCGGGGUAACGGCCCACCGUGCCCGCGAUGGGUAGCCGGACUGAGAGGUCGACCGGCCACAUUGGGACUGAGAUACGGCCCAGACUCCUACGGGAGGCAGCAGUGGGGAAUUUUGCGCAAUGGGGGGAACCCUGACGCAGCAACGCCGCGUGCGGGACGAAGGCCUUCGGGUUGUAAACCGCUUUCAGCAGGGAAGAC